rnacentral:rRNA from 1 species
ACUUUCAACAACGGAUCUCUUGGUUCUGGCAUCGAUGAAGUACGCAGCGAAAUGCGAUAAGUAAUGUGAAUUGCAGAAUUCAGUGAAUCAUCGAAUCUUUGAACGCACAUUGCGCCCGCCAGUAUUCUGGCGGGCAUGCCUGUCCGAGCGUCAUUUCAACCC